AUGGAUGAGGUCACAAGGAAUAUACAAGGAGAUAUCCCAUGGUGUAUGCUCUUUGCGGAUGAUGUAAUGCUAGUUGACGAUAGUCGGACGGGGGUAAAUAGGAAGUUAGAGUUAUGGAGACAAACCUUGGAAUCGAAAGGGUUUAGGCUUAGUAGAACUAAAACCGAGUACAUGAUGUGCGGUUUCAGUACUACUAGGUGUGAGGAGGAGGAGGUUAGCCUUGAUGGCCAGGUGGUACCUCGGAAGGACACCUUUCGGUAUUUGGGGUCAAUGUUGCAGGAGGAUGGGGGCAUUGAUGAAGAUGUGAACCAUCGAAUCAAAGCCGGAUGGAUGAAGUGGCGCCAAGCUUCUGGCAUUCUCUCUGACAAGAGAGUGCCACAAAAGCUAAAAGGCAAGUUCUACAGGACGGCGGUUUGA
rnacentral:rRNA from 1 species